rnacentral:rRNA from 1 species
AGCGAUGACGCCUAUGGGUGUAAAGCUCUGAUCUGAGGGAAGAACAAAAUGACGGUACUCAGGAGAAAGCCCGGCUAACUACGUGCCAGCAGCCGCGGUAAUACGUAGGGGGCAAGCGUUAUCCGGGAUUUAUUGGGCGUAAAGAGUGCGUAGGUGGCUGUCUAAGCGAGAGGUGAAAGGCAUCGGCUCAACCGGUGUAAGCCUUUCGAACUGGGCGGCUUGAGUGCAGGAGAGGAAAGCGGAACUCCUAGUGUAGCGGUGAAAUGCGUAGAUAUUAGGAAGAACACCGGUGGCGAAGGCGGCUUUCUGGACUGUAACUGACACUGAGGCACGAAAGCGUGGGGAGCAAACAGGAUUAGAUACCCUGGUAGUCCACGCCGUAAACGAUGAGCACUAGUUGUCGGGACUUAAUCGUCUCGGUGACGCAGUUAACGCAUUAAGUGCUCCGCCUGGGGAGUACGCACGCAAGUGUGAAACUCAAAGGAAUUGACGGGGACCCGCACAAGCAGCGGAGCAUGUGGUUUAAUUCGAAGCAACGCGAAGAACCUUACCAGGGCUUGACAUCCUUCUGACAGGCGUGUAACGGCGCCCUCCUUCGGGCAGAAGAGACAGGUGGUGCAUGGUUGUCGUCAGCUCGUGUCGUGAGAUGUUGGGUUAAGUCCCGCAACGAGCGCAACCCUUGUCAUUAGUUGCCAUCAGGUUAAGCUGGGCACUCUAAUGAGACUGCCGGGGAUAACUCGGAGGAAGGUGGGGAUGACGUCAAAUCAUCAUGCCCCUUAUGUUCUGGGCUACACACGUGCUACAAUGGCCGGUACAAUGGGAAGCAAUGCGGCGACGCGGAGCAAAUCACCAAAACCGGUCUCAGUUCGGAUUGCAGGCUGAAACCCGCCUGCAUGAAGCCGGAGUUGCUAGUAAUCGCAGAUCAGAAUGCUGCGGUGAAUACGUUCCCGGGUCUUGUACACACCGCCCGUCACACCAUGGAAGUUGGGGGCGCCCGAAGUCGGCCGGCAAAUAGGCUGCCUAAGCGAUCAUNNG